GGUGGAUGAAUGUUGUAUGAUCAGGUGUCACAUGUCAUGUAACGGGUGGGAAUAUGUGAUCAGGCAUUGUGUAGUAAAUAUGGUAAAUGAAUAUUGUAUGAUCAGGUGUCACAUGUCAUGUUCAGUACAGGAGUGGUAACAAUGUUGUAUGAUCAGGUGUCGCAUGUCAUGUUCAGUACAGGAGUGUCAAAUGAAUAUUGUAUGAUCAGUUGUCACAUGUCAUGUUCAGUACAGGAGUGUCAAAUGAAUGUUGUAUGAUCAGGUGUCACAUGUCAUGUUCAGUACAGGAGUGGUAAAUGAAUGAAUGUGUAUGAUCAGGUGUCACAUGUCAUGUUCAGUACAGGAGUGGUAAAUGAAUGUUGUAUGAUCAGGUGUCACAUGUCAUGUUCAGUACAGGAGUGGUAAUGAAUGUUGUAUGAUCAGUGGUGUCACAUGUCAUGUUCAGUACAGGAGUGGUAAAUGAAUGUUGUAUGAUCAGGUGUCACAUGUCAUGUUCAGUACAGGAGUGGUAAAUGAAUGUUGUAUGAUCAGGUGUCACAUGUCAUGUUCAGUACAGAGUGGUAAAGAAUGUUGUAUGAUCAGGUGUCACAUGUCAUGUUCAGUACAGGAGUGGUUAAUGAAUGUUUGUAUGAUGUCAGGUGUCACAUGUCAUGUUCAGUACAGAAGUGGUAAAUGAAUUUUGUACAAUGUCAGGUGUCACAUGUCAUGUUCAGUACAGGAGUGGUAAAUGAAUAUUGUAUGAUCAGGUGUCACAUGUCAUGUUCAGUACAGGAGUGGUAACAAAUGUUGUAUGAUCAGGUGUCACAUGUCAUGUUCAGUACAGGAGUGGUAAAUGAAUAUUGUAUGAUCAGGUGUCACAUGUCAUGUUCAGUACACAGAGUGGUAAUGAAUAUUGUAUGAUCAGGUGUCACAUGUCAUGUUCAGUACAGAAGUGGUAAAUGAAUGUUGUAUCAGGUGUCACAUGUCAUGUUCAGUACAGGAGUGGUAAUGAAUGUUGUAUGAUCAGGUGUCACAUGUCAUGUUCAGUACAGGAGUGGUAAAUGAAUGUUGUAUGAUCAGGUGUCACAUGUUCAUGUUCAGUACAGGAGUGGUAAAUGAAUGUUGUAUGAUCAGGUGUCACAUGUCAUGUUCAGUACAGGAGUGGUAAUGAAUGUUGUAUGAUCAGGUGUCACAUGUCAUGUUCAGUACAUAAGUGGUCAAUGAAUAUUGUAUGAUCAGGUGUCACAUGUCAUGUUCAGUACAGGAGUGGUAAAUGAAUGUUGUAUGAUCAGGUGUCACAUGUCAUGUUCAGUACUGAAGUGGUGGAUGAAUGUUGUAUGAUCAAGUGUCACAUGUCAUGUUCAGUAAAGAAGUGGUAAAUGAAUGUUGUAUAAGUGGUGUCACAUGUCAUGUUCAGUACAGGAGUGGUAAAUGAAUGUUGUAUGAUCAGGUGUCACAUGUCAUGUUCAGUACAGGAGUGGUAAUGAAUGUUGUAUAAUCAGGUGUCACAUGUCAUGUUCAGUACAGGAGUGGUAAUGAAUGUUGUAUGAUCAGGUGUCACAUGUCAUGUUCAGUACAGGAGUGGUAAAUGAAUGUUGUAUGAUCAGGUGUCACAUGUCAUGUUCAGUACAGAAGUGGUAAAUGAAUGUUGUAUGAUAGGUGUCACAUGUCAUGUUCAGUACAGGAGUGGUAAUGAAAGUUGUAUGAUCAGGUGUCAUUGUCAUGUUCAGUACAGGAGUGGUAAAUGAAUGUUGUAUGAUCAGGUGUCACAUGUCAUGUUCAGUACAAGAGUGGUUAAUGAAAUUGUAUGAUCACAUGUCAUGUUCAGUACAGAUGGUAAAUGUAUUGUAUGAUCAGGUGUCACAUGUCAUGUUCAGUACAGGAGUGUAAUAAUAUUGUAUGAUCAGGUGUCACAUGUCAUGUUCAGUACAGGAGUGGUGAAUGAAUGUUGUAUAAUCAGGUGUCACAUGUCAUGUUCAGUACAGGAGUGGUAAAUGCAAUGUUGUAUGAUCUAGUGUCACAUGUCAUGUUCAGUACAGAGUGGUAAAUGAAUAUUGUAGAAUCAGGUGUCACAUGACAUGUUUAGAACAGGAGUGGUCACUGAAAGUUGUAUGAUCAGGUGUCACAUGUCAUGUUCAGUACAGGAGUGGUAAAUGUCAAUGUUGUAUGAUCAGGUGUCACAUGUCAUGUUCAGUCAGGAGUAAUGUGUUGUAUCAGGUGUCAGUCAUGUUCAGUACAGGAGUGUAAAUGAAUAUUGUAUGACACGGGUGUCACAUGUCAUGUUCAGUACAGAAGUGGUUGAUGAAUGUUGUAUGAUGUGGUUCAUGUCAUGUUCAGUACAUGAGUGGCAUAUGAAUGUUGUAUGAUCAGGUGUCACAUGUCAUGUUCAGUACUGGAGUGGUAAAUGCAGGUUGUAUGAUCAGGUGUCACAUGUCAUGUUCAGUACUGGAGUGGUAAAUGAAUGUUGUAUGAUCAGGUGUCACAUGUCAUGUUCAGUACAGGAGUGGUAAAUGAAUGUUGUAUGAUCAGGUGUCACAUGUCAUGUUCAGUACAAGAGUGGUAAAUGCAUGUUGUAUGAUCAGGUGUCACAUGUCAUGUUCAGUACAGGAGUGGUAAAUGAAUAUUGUAUAAUCAGGUGUCACAUGUCAUGUUCAGUACAAGAGUGGUGAAUGAAUGUUGUAUGAUCAGGUGUCACAUGUCAUGUUCAGUACAGGAGUGGUAAAUGAAUGUUGUAUAAUCAGGUGUCUCAUGUCAUGUUUAGUACAGGAGUGGUGAAUGAAAGUUGUAUGAUCAGGUGUCACAUGUUAUGUUCAGUACAGGAGUGGUACAUGAAUGUUGUAUAAUCAGGUGUCACAUGUCAUGUUCAGUACAUAAGUGGUCAAUAAAUGGUGUAUGAUCAGGUGUCACAUGUCAUGUUCACUACAGGAGUGGUAAAUGAAUGAUGUAUGAUCAGGUAUAGACAUGUCAUGUUCAUACAGGAGUGGUUAAUGAAUGUCAUAUGAUCAGGUGUCACAUGUCAUGUUCAGUACAGGAGUGGUAACGAAUGUUGUAUGAUCAGGUGUCACAUGUCAUGUUCAGUACAGGAGUGGUGAAUGAAUGUUGUAUGAUCAGGUGUCACAUGUCAUGUUCAGUACAUUAGUGGUUAAUGAAUGUUGUAUGAUGUGGUGUCACAUGUCAUGUUCAGUACAGAAGUAGUAAAUGAAUUUAGUACAUGUGUGUCAUGUCAUGUUCAGUAGAGGAGUGGUGGAUGAUUGUAUAUUCAGGUGUCACAUAUCAUGCUCAGUACAGGACUGGUAACGAAUGUUGUAUGAUCAGGUGUUGCAUGUCAUGUUCAGUACAGGAGUGUUAAUUGAAUGUUGUAUGAUCAGGUGUCACAUGUCAUGUUCAGUACAGGAGUGGUUAAUGAAUGUUGUUUGAUCAGGUGUCACAUGUCAUGUUCAGUAGAGGAGUGGUAACAAAUUUUGUAUGAUCAGGUGUCUCAUGUCAUGUUCAGUACAGGAGUGGUUAAUGAAUGUUGUUUGAUCAGGUGUCACAUGUCAUGUUCAGUAGAGGAGUGGUAACAAAUGUUGUAUGAUCAGGUGUCACAUUUCAUGUUCA
rnacentral:lncRNA from 1 species